GCCACUCACAUUAAUCAUCAAGACCAGUUAAUACCUUGGUUACAAGCUCAAAAUGUAGAAAUAUUGAAAGAACACCACAAAUAUGAUGAGAAGACUGUGGGCAAUAAAAAGAAAAGAAAUCAAUAAAGUCCUAUCAGUCAAAAGUAUAUAUAAAUAGAAAACGAUAUUACAAGAAAAAGCAAUAAGAAACCAGAAAAUCUUGGACUAAUUCAUUUCAAAAUGUAAACAAAAUCAUGAGCUUAAGCUCCUCAAAGAUCCUAAAAUUCAUUUCAUUUUCCCCGGCCUCCCUUGUUGCCAGCUGCUGAAGCCUUUCCUGAGCCUUUUCCUUUUUGGUUGCCCUUCUUCCCCUUGUCCUGCUGCUUCUUCUUUUUCAUUCCAUGCUUUCUUGCAUCUUUUUUCAUUCUUGGAUCAACAAGGACCUUUCCCUUGCCAACCUUAACUUGAACUCCUUUCUUUGCCACUACAUAUUCCCUUUCUGGUUUUUUUGUUGACGACGCCUUCCUGUAUAGCUGUUCAAUCAUUUUUCUCUUUGAACCUUCAGAGAUUUCAGUUUGGUCUGAUAUUGUGUUAGCUUUCUUCCUAAACUUCUCAAGCUUUCUAUGUGCAGCCCGUUUCUUACGAGCUUUGGCUUCUGCAACCUUCUUUGCAGGCCGAGCAUCAAUUGCUUUAAAUUGAGCUCUCAUUGCAGCAAUCUCCUCUUUUGUCACGGGUUUCACUGGCUGGAAAUUUCUCUUUUCCUCAUCAAUGAACCACUUUGGCAACCCUUCAUCGUGAAACAUAUAUCUGUUGUAAGCAUCAUCAAUCAUUUCAUCCCUAGGCCUUUUCUUCAGCAUCAUUUUUGCUGUAGCCAAUAUUUCAGCCUUGGUGUCAAUGUCGUCAUCAGAUUCAUCAGAUGAUGAAUCACUAGAAUCAGUAGCAGGAGCAGGAACAAUCUCAAAAUCAUCAUCUGUCCUAGAAGCUGAGACCUGUAAAUUUGUUUUUUUCCUCGUCAGAUCCUUAGUCUCUCCUUGCUGUUUAUCAUUUGUCAAUUCCUUAGAUUUUUGGAUCUUCUUAGCCCCUCCAUCUAUUUGCAUUUCAUCUUCACUGUCAUACUUGUCCAAGACAUCUUGCUCUUCUGCUUCAGCAAAAACAUCUUGAGUAAACCACUUCUUCACAAUCUCCUCCUGAGGUGGUGCAUCCUCAAGGGGCACAACAAGAGGGUUGACUUCAUUAUCUUCCAUGUCACUCUCAGAGUCUUGAGCAGAAUCAAUCAUCGUGCUAUCAUCAUUGCCAUCCUGGAAAAGAAAAGAGCAGCACUACCAUUAAUGCAAAGAAAGACAAAAGAAAGAUAAACUUCUGAGUAACUUGAAGAAGCCAUGUGGAAAAAGAAAACACUUUGUACACAUUUUUUAGAUGAUUUAUGAAAGGCACUUGGAAAGUUUAAGAUAAUGAUCAAAAUUUUAUUCAACCCUUCUAUGUAAUCCUAGUUAAAGGACAGACAGGAUUUAGUUAAAAUCAAUUUGAAUUUGACUUUUACUUUGGUAAAAACUGAAUCUUACCAUAUCUACAACUCAGUUAAUAUAUUUGAAAUCUACACGCCACUGUAUUACAACUCAUAAGUUGUUGUAAUACAGGAAAUAAAUGUAAAUAAUAACAAAUCAAGUAUAUAGGAAGGAGAUGAAGCUGUGCCUAGUACUCCUUGGGGCAAACACAAUCCAGAUUUGGAGUCUUACAGAUCAAUUUUGAUCCAGAAGAACAGGAAUUAAAUCUUUGCAAACUAGAACAAAGCUCAAACAAGUUAGCUCCCACUAAAUCCAGCAGAGCAUCAUCAAACAAGUACUAAAAGAAUGACCCCCUAUUGAAUUUAUAUCCAAAGUACUUGUUGAAGAAAACAAGAAACUCAGUCCCAUAGCAAAAGGAAACAGGAAAAACAUAAGUGGAGGAUGUACAAAUAGGAAUUUUGUAGUGCAACUUAAACCUCACUUACCUGCAGAUCAUCCUUCAGGUGUGCUUGUUUGGAUCGCUUUCUCUGUUUUGAUUUACCUUCCACUCUACCCAAAUAUCGUUCAUAAGCCUCAUCAAAUAAUGCCUCUAUAUUAUCAUCAUGUCUGAAAAUGAAGGGAAAAAGAGACCUUGUAGCUUUAGAAGUUUACAGGCAACAAUCAAUUUUAGAAGCAGAUCCGCAAAAAGCUGGCCAUAAUACCUUCUGCGUUCGUCUUCAGAGUCCAGAUCACUGGAUGAAUGCUCCCGGGCUUCCUCGUCACUUUCAUCGCUUACCUCAGUAGUUUCUUUGUCGUAUUCACUGUUAUCAACAGCUACGAGAUCUUUCUUACCCUGAAAUGUUUUUUCAAAUGCAUGUGAAGAAUAUAAUUAACAAAUGUUGUAGCACUCUUCACAUAGCAGUAAAAAUGAAUUAAAUUGGGUGAAAAGAAAAAUUAUCAAGAUUAGUAGUGAAACAAAUCUGCAUAUCACGUAUCUAACAAUGGAAAGGAUUAGAAAAAAUAGCAUGUGUUUGGUCUAGUGUAAUCAAGGCGCGCUUUAAGCGCGCUUAAGCCCUAGCUCAAAACGUGUCGAGCGCUUCGCCUCGCUUUAUGUGCGCUUCGGUGUCGUCAUCAAGGUUCUAAGGCAAGCUUUUCCUUGCCAAUGAGCCUUUUAUGAAGAAGUGAAACUAAAUAAUUGAUAUUUCACUUAACCAUAAAAAAUAUUCAAUUUCUUUGGUCAUAUAUUCGUCAUUCAUGUUUAUAAUUAUUAGUCUUGAACUAAACAUAUAUAUUUGUAUUCUUUUCUUCCUUUGCGCCUUUUUUCAUUAAAGCCCACUCUUUAUUUGCGCUUAAAGCCACCAUGGACCUUAGAGCUUUUUUGCGCUUUUCGCCUUUGAUAACACUGGUUUGGUCUCGGAAAAAAAGUUAGAAAGCAUUACUACUAUUUUAAGGAUUAUUCUCAAUAGGGUUUAAAAGAUAGAUCAAAAAAGAUGGGGAAAAGGGAAAGAUAACCUUUAAGUCUUGCUAAGUGAAACGCUUAAAGUGGUCCCAUUUUGAGAAGCCAAUAAAGAUAUCACUUUUACCUUGCAUUUUAUUCAAGGUUGACGCUUCCACCUUAUAGAAAAGAUGUGUUUCUUAUUUCUUACUAUAUAAUAUGAUAACCCCAUCUCACAGUGAGUUCACACUUUGUCCUAUUUGCUGCGUCUUACAGUCCUUUUCUGCCAUGGUCCAAAGCAAUACUCUUCAAGUGUCAUUCCUCUCUCUUCUCUGUUUGCUGUUCAGCACUGCCAUGUUAAGGAUGGUCCAAAGUCACUUCAAGAAAUUACUGUCCAACAGUAGUCCUGGAAGUAUCAACUUCAUCCCUAUUUUCAUUUCUGCUUAUCUCGUCUCCGCACAAUACACCCUCACACUUCCUCAGAAUGCUCUGAGAUUUUCCCAACUGUAGGAUGGUCAGCCAGAUACACCACCUUUUUACUUGGUGGAUGCCAUAGGCUUCUGAAUGUCCACAAGUUACAGACAUCCAUAUUGCUUCUUGUACAAAUGUGGAAAUUGAAAUGGUGUGCAUUCCUGAACACUCCUUAUAUUUUUGGUUCAAUAAUUUUCUUAAAACGAGUGUGGAGUAUAAAUUGGGAGAGGGUGGAUUUAACUUUCCCUGUUCUCUCUAUCCUUGAAAUUCUCAACCACGUCACAAAAGCUCAAAAGCACAUCUCCCCUGCUGCUGUUCCUACAAACCACAUACCUCCCAACACCAUCCACUGCACCUUUCUAUUUACUAAAUUAAACUAAUUACAUCAUGGAUAAUUCUUUAGGGUAUAUUAUAACAUAUAAAUUUAAUCAUAACAUUCACAUCCGUGAAAUGCCGUACCCUAUAAAAAAUGUUAUGGUUCUAGAUAUCAAUUUUACUUCUACCCGCAGAAAGAUUCUAAAGCAACUUGACAACUGUAAUUAGUCAAAGUCACCAAUAUUAUCUGAUAUAGUAAAGUAACUAAACCAAAAAUCAGGGAGGGUUGUCCAUCAGAAAUCUAGCAACUUAUAGCAAGUGCAUGUUUGACGAAGUUGUUAUGGAGAUACAACUCUGAAGAACCUGCAGUUAGAGCCAAGUUCUGAAGCAACUUGACAACUAUGAGAAGAAAACAGUCAAAAUCACCCUUCCUGCUUUUUGCCCUUUGCAAUUCUUAGAUAGAAUAUAAAAAGAUCAAAAAAAAUAUUGUAUGUAUUCCCUUUACUAGUUCCAGCAAAAGCUAAUUUUUGGUUGUUUACAACAUUGUAAUUUAAAAGAAUGCAUUUUACUUCUCAUUAUUUAUCUUCUUCUCUUUUCGGGGACAAGUCAAAAGUGCCCAUUGUGCCACACUAAGGCAGAGUUAUAGUUACAAAUGUGCAUGCAUUUAUUGAGUCGCCUAAAAUUAUAGCAUAAGAUGGACAUUAUGCAAUAAAUACAAGAAAAAAAUUACGAACUCUCAACUGGCAUAGUACUCAGAGGUGUAUCUAGAGGGGGUGUCGUGGGUUCACGUGAACCCAUGCUUCCCUCUCUAGAUCAUAUAUAGUAGUGUUCUAUUUUUAAAAAAAUAUUUACAUACCAUGUUCAAAGUAUCAUAUAAUAAUACGAUGACGAUUGGGUGCACCUCUCUAAGUGAGGAUAGAAACUUUAAUUAUAUAUCCAUCUUGUCUUUUUGAGUAACAACUCUCCAAGUGGUUAUCGGUUACACUUUUGACGUUUCAACUAAUUUUGCUUUUGUUUUUUCCUUUAAUCUUUCAAAAUUUUCAAGUGUGUUACAUUGAAAAUUCCUAAAAAAUUUAGCACUAUAAAUAUUUUAUAUAAUUAAAUCAAAUGUAUAUUAAAAUUUAAAACUAGUAGAAAAAUUUAGCACUAUAAAUAUUAAAAUUUAGCACUAUCAAAUGUAUAUAUUUUGGACCUAUAAUUUUUAAAAUUUAAUAGUUCAUAUUAAGAACCUAAAAGUCAAAUCGAUCAAAUUUAUAAUUAAGAUACAUUUUUUCAUAAUCGUGCACCCAUCUAGCCGAAAUCCUGGAUACGCCCUUGAUAGCACUCAAUUCCUUCAAAAUUUCGUCCCUCCAUAUUAACCAAAAAUACCAAAUGGAGGCAUCUUCCAUAACCUCUUUUGCCUAGCCUCCAAUAUGUAUGUCUACCAACUUUCAUCACUUCUUUAGAAUGUAAGAUUUAUUGAUGAAACUAGCAGAAACUGGGAAAAUGUGGGUAACCUCUUUUGCCUAGCCUCCAAUAUGUAUGUCUACCAACUUUCAUCACUUCUUUAGAAUGUAAGAUUUAUUGAUGAAACUAGCAGAAACUGGGAAAAUGUGGGUAACCUCUUUUGCCUAGCCUCCAAUAUGUAUGUCUACCAACUUUCAUCACUUCUUUAGAAUGUAAGAUUUAUUGAUGAAACUAGCAGAAACUGGGAAAAUGUGGGUCUACUCCUCCUUGUGUCUUCUACAUAAGCAACAAUAAAUAUUAUGAUACAUAUCUCCUCAAAUUAUCUUCUUUCAGAAUAGCAUCCCACUAGAUGCACCCAAAAAAGAACUAACCUUCAACCGUUCUAUAGCAUCCACAAUGAUUCCAAAAGGGUGCCAUCAAAUCACCUCAAUGAAUGGCUGGUUAUGAUAUAACUUCAUCAAAGAUCAUUUUGAGGAUGAUCUUCCCUAAACUAAUUUGUCAUCCCCCUAGAUUGUGUGGCUAUAUAACCUUUGAAGUAAUGUUUACAUCUCAAAUUUUAGAUCCUGUAUGGAUAUGUUGAAAGUUAAAUUCCAGAAAAUCUGCAUACCUUCCUAACUAAAAAGCUCCCCUACACAUUCCUGUCAUUUCGGAGAAAAUCUAAAAUUGGGAAACCAUCAUUCAAUUUUAUGUUACAUUACUUCUUCUCUCAGAAUCUCAAAUUACCAUUUCCAACUAAAAGCAAGUGAAUUCAGAAGACCCUUUUAAAAUCAAAAUCACCUGUUGACCCUUUUCACCAGCUUGUUAUGCAAGUUAAAGUGACCCCUUCAGAGAACAACCCAUGUUGAUCAAUUCCCAUAUGCUUUCAGAAUGUUGUUUAGCUGUCAAGACUCAGUAGAACGAAUUCUUCUCAUCACAAAAUGCUCCUCUAAAGCAUCAUCCAACUCAACUACCACAAAUUUCAUAACACGAACUUAAAGCAAAUAUAUAAAUAAAACAAACCUAACAAAAAAAUAGACAAGUAGAUACUAUCACAUAGCAACUAUUUCAGUUUUUAGCUACAAUAUCUAGUUGAUAUCUAGAUGUAGAUUUUCUCAAAUACACAAGGACCUCAUCUGGACGAUGAAGAACAGAGCUUUCAACCAGAUUAACUUUCAGGAAAAACAAUUUCUCUGUAAAAGUAGCAUCCAGUCCACUAGAGCAAAUGAUAUAACAAGGAAUCUAAGUGUGAAAAUACCUUGAUGGAAGAUAGAGAGAACAAAUCCUGAUCACCAUAGCCAUCCUCUGUCGCAUCUACUUGUAUCCCAAGUGCCUUGCGUGCUUUCUCCUGCAAUCAGAAAAAUAAAGGGGAAACAAUCAGUGAAAUAGAUCCCAUGUGACUACUUCAUGAUUUUAGGAAAGUAACAGAAGUUGUUGAAGGGUACAUAUCAAUUCAAGAAACCACUACCAGAUUUUGGUCUAGUAUUAAGAGCACAAGUGAUGUGUGAAUUAGGCACUCGUCAGAGAUUGGAAUCUUUUCUCUUCUUUUUUUUAUAAAGGUAGAUUUGUAUUCUUCAGCAUGGUGUGCUGGGUACUUCCAAAAAGAUAACAAGUUAUUUCCAUAAUUACAUAGAUCCUAGGAAAUCUACCAACUGUUCUACUUCUUCUAUACCAUCUUCUUUACACCAAAAAUACAACAUGUUAAUGCAAUUUUCUUUAACCUUCUGAAUAGUGUUAGUAAUAUUCUCAUGACACCUGAGGUUUCUUUCUCUCAAAAUAGCCAGCCAGAAACAAGCAGGUACUAUAGACCACCUCGUCACAGGUUGAAUCUGACCGACAAAAAAGCCUGGUAUUUAAGUGGAGAUGUGUAGUGGGACAGACCAUCAUCCACCGUGUUUCAAACCAAGAACCGCUGGACUCGAGGAUUUCUCAGUUAUAAAAAAAAUUAAGAAACCCUAAUGUCAAGACUUCUACCAAAUAAUACUUAGUAGCAAGUUUAAUUUUUCCCAGAAUGCCCUGGUGUGAGUUUCAGUCAUUGACCUACAGGCAAUCAAAUAAAUAAUCAGCCUGGCUCUGAACUGCAACUUUUUUUAUUGAGAAAGUUAACUGGUAUUAUAAACAAAAGGAGUACACCAAUAGUGUGCUCCUACAUAGUUACAUCAAAAGUAUGAAAGGACAGCCCAAAAACAAAAUCUAUCUCCUAUAUUCCUUAUAAACUGUCUAGAAAUAGGUUAAUUUCCCCUAUAUCCUUAGGUACAGAAUGUAUUAACUGAACUGCAACUUUAUCCAGGCUCUAGUUCGACUAAUUCGGUUUAUAGCUAAGAUACCCUGAAGAAAAAAUGUUUGGGGGGUAUUCAGAAGACGGAGAGGAGCCACCAUAAGUUAUUUCCAAACGUUGAAAACUUGAAAUGCAUGAAAGCGCACGUGUUUUCUCAAGGGAAAAGCACAAAAUUCACAAUUUGGGAUACUUAUUUGUCCAUUAAUUCUUCUGAGCUCAACAGAAAUUAUCACUCCCCACAUGAUGUUGUAUGGAACACUCUUAACUAUGUGUAAACCAAAACAGAAAUUGAAAGAGACUUGGUGGAGCAUAUGCAUAAACCUUGGCUCGUCUUUUUGCUUGAAGUUUCUUCUCUUUUUUCUGCUUUUUCUCCAAAAUAUUGGUUUUCUCCUCUAUUUCAUUGAGAACUCUUUCAUCUUCAUCUUCACCUUCAUCUUCUUUGCUCUCACUUUCAACAACUGUUGGGGUCUUUAUUUUUUCAGGAGAUAAAGCUUUUCUUAUCUGCAUACGCCACCUAGAAAAAAAAAGGUUUGCAUUAAAAAAAUCAUAAGAGGAACAUAAAAGAAUGAGAAUAGAGAAUAAUGUAACUAAAUUCAAUCAAGAACUUUGAGCAUCCCAAAACGGAAAGGUGCUAAAAAGGUUUCUGUUUCGUACUUUAAGAGAUACUUGAAGUCUUGCUUUGCAAGAACACGCAAAUCAUCACAUAGAGAUUUAACCUGACACAAAAAUUGAAGUGUAAGGCUAACGAUAGCAAGCAACUACAGCAUCUAGCAACAACAGGCUAUAGCCUAUAAUAGACCACAUGUAAUAUACCUCCUCUGUUGUGAGAGUGUGGUCUCUAAUGGCCAAACAGGCAGGAUCAUCAGAGCUCAUUGAAGAAAAUGUACCAAGGACCUGAACAGGGUUAUCAGACCAUACAAAAUCUGCAACUGAGCACACCUUCCUUAGGACUGUGGCUCCAUCUUCGUACCUGCAAGGUUCAUUUUAUACAAAUGUCAUAUAGAUGCAAGUGUGAUGGGAUAAUUCAUGCAUCUGGAAAUAGAAAGAAAGAAAUCAAUUAACUCAAAUCUUCGCCCAGAUUAGCUCUAAUAAUGACAAACCCAUUAGACUGAAUCAAAGUUAACAUCAAUCAUUUGAAAGCUGGCAAUUAGUUAGAAAUUCAAAUGUCAAGGUAAUAGCUACUGGAAUGACAUCAUCUAUUAAUGAUGGAUAAUAAAAGGAUGAGCCCAGUAUACUAAGCUAGCAUCAAGCCAUAGAUUUUAGGACUAGAUUUUGAAAAAUUAUCUUCAAAUAGCUGUUUGGCCAUGAAAUUUGAUUGGAUUUUGAAGCUUCAAAUCUGUGAACUUCAAUUUUUUGGGUUUUUGGGACUUCCACUCACAAAACUUCAAAUUCCAAAAAUUACAAAUUCAGAAACUCAAAUUUUCAAGUUUCAUCUUCAAACUCUAUGGCCAAACAAGAGCUAAGAGGUUUCACAUGUUGCCCCAACAAUUAAAGACUCUAAAACAGACUAGUAGAAGUUGAGGCAGGAAUUUAUUAGUGAAGCAGACAAAGCAACCUAGCAACCUGAGAGCUUCACUACCAACUCAGUCCAUGAUUCUCAUUAAUACAUGCAAAGAAAGAGAUUUGGAGAGUGAAAUCUUCAGCAUCAGACUAAUAAACAAACAUUCACUUUAUUUUGAUGGAACAAAAUCAGUCAUAAUCCACCGUCGUAGGAGACCAUGAAGGAAGUGAAGCAGGCCAAGUUUUAGGAAGAAUAAAGAACAAACUGCUGCAAUGCUGGGGACGCAGAAAGUAAAAGCCCUCAAUGGCCAAAGGCCAGAGCCCCACACACUCGCACCUUUCUCUCUCUGUCACCACACACUUUCUCUUCUCCCAUUCAUCAUUUGACAAUGUUAUACUCUUUUCAGUGCUCAAACUACUUAGUAACCUCUCAACCUAGCAUCAUGGCCCAUUGUCAGAUGUUUGUUUUUCACUUUGCUAAAACUUCCUCAACAAAAAUCUCACAAGAACUCAACCCAUGUGACGAAACCAAAAGAAAAGGGAAAAAACAACUUAUUUUUAGCAAACUGUCUUUCUCCUUAUAUAAUGUCACUGCAUCUCUUCAAAUGAAUGGCUGGCCACCUAUUAUCAUUAUUUAGCCAACAAAGACAGAUUCAGCUUCUUCUCGUAAUUCAAGCUCGUAUGAGAAGCAGGUCAAGCAUCCCCAUAGAUACUACAUCUAGUGAAUUGUUUACUUGUCAAAAAGGACAAACACAUCAUCUGCUUCCCUGCCUCAGUUCCACUACAAGGGCAUAUUCUGGGAAGUGUUAAAAGCAGACUGGUUCAGUUUACAAAGUUUGGUGUCCCAAAAAUCUAUGCACAAAUAACAUGUUUCUAUGAUUUGAUUAUAGUCAAUGGAAUGCCAUGUUCCUUCUCAUGGACUUGAAACAAUUAUUCAAAUGCAUAAAUACACAGCAAAAUAGGAUAUACCCAUCACGGUGUCUCUUCUGCUUCGUCCCUCCGAGUACAUCAAUCACCUGAUUAAGUACACACAAGAAGCUCAAUGAGAUUAUAGGAACGUCUAUAUGUUAAGGAUAAGGAAAGUGCACGGACCUAGCAUGCAAAAGAGAUAAAAGGGGGAGGGGUUUAAGGAGAGAGUGUGAGAGAGGACCAUAAUUCAAAAACUCUUUCAGUACCUUGGGGGGUUCUUUUCCUCCUUGAAAGAGGUGCUUUACAUCAAGAAGUCGUGGAUCGAUCUUUGAAGGAGCUUUAUAUUUAAAACCUAUAAUAUAAAUUUCAGCAGAUGCUGAACGACUAGCCAGAGGUUUGUCCACCUCAACUUUUUCAAAAAGCUGUAAAUGAAACUCAAAAGUGAGGGAUCAUUUGAUCCUUUAUACUUGAAAAUAAAACUGGGUAUAGAUGUGGAAAAAAAAAAUUGAGAUUGAUAUAGAUGUGGAAAUUUACCUGUCUUAGACAGUAAAGAACUGCAUUAUAAUCUUGAGAUCUGAAAAUCUAAAAGAGGAGACCAUAUCAGUCUACCAGACAACUCUGUUUGUAUGAGCAUGAGAAAAAGUAUUCUCAUCAGAAUACGCUCGGAAACACAAAUACAAAUAUUGAUCAUCGCCUCCCAGCAGAAAAAGGAAUGAACCUAAAAAAUGUUACUUGAGGUUGCCUUUAAGUGUAAAUACCAAUAGAUCUGAUACUAGAACCAGAUUCAACAUUGUCAAAAGAGGCCAAGGGCUUCAUUUUGGACAACUACAUGUGCAUACCAAGAGUUUUGCCAACAUAUGAGGCAGGAAGUAUGGCACAAUAAAUAAUCGGUAGGUCAUGGAAUAUAGUUAAAGCAAAGAUAAAACCCUAAGAAUUCAGCCAAAUACACCAUUGGCUUUAGAGAUGCACUCAACCAUUCAAAAAAAUACACUGAUGAAACAAUGAAAAGAAUGAUAUAUCAAGAAAAAGAUUACUAAAAGAACAUAGUUAUUGAACAGGAAAAUGACAAUGUAGUGUCUAGAUAGUUGGCAGCGAUGUAAGAUAUGUAGUGCUCAUUCCUUCAUGAGGAUCAACUUUAAAGGAUGCACUUUGGGAACCAGAAAAACUCAAACACUAGAAACUAGAAUAAAAGUGCACAGCUGUCGGGCAAGGUAAGCCAUAUGAAGGAAAUAGAAAAAUUUAAUCAGCAACUCCGUUGAAAUGAAAUUUCAAUUUUUUUUUACUGUUGUAGGCAAAUGGCUGUGUUAAACAUAGUUAGAAUCCCAACAACACAGAAUAACGUUAAUCUAAAUUCAAAAUUAGAAGUCAUAGACUACUAGAGCUUUCUGGCAUUACUCCACAUGAUUCAUACAGGCAUAAAUAACAACGAAAACAUAACAAGGCCAGUAACCAAUUACAUUAACUAAUUAAGGAACUCAUCAUCGCAGAUCCAGAAUCUGAUAUGACAAAAACACCAAGCGCAUAGUAAGACGUAAAAGGGUCUUUUCCACUUUGUCCAACAAGCAUAACAUAAUCGAAAAAGAUAGAACUUUUAGCGAAUACCUUUGUAAUAAAAGUCCCUUUUGGAGCCAACAAUUCAGUAGCAAGCUUAACCGAAUCAAUAACCAAUGAAUUCUGACUAGUAGCUUCUUUAGCCCAAGCACCACCAACAUUAGGUGAACCAUCAUGAAGAACCAAAUCAAAAGCUCUACAUCCAUUCUCAGCCAUAAGUUUCUUAAUAGUUGAACGACAUUUAGGUGUAGUGAUAUCCUGUUGAACAGAAAUAGCACCACGAAUUGGCCUAAUUGGAUCCAAAUCAACACCGAUAACAAGACUACCAACGGGUACAUGCUUAACAGCCACUUGCAUCCAACCACCAGGUGCUGCACAAAGAUCAAGUACUGAUUGUGAUGAACGUAGAAAACUGAACUUGGAAUCGAGUUGGAUAAGCUUCCAUGCUGCCCUAGAACGAUAACCUUGUUCUUUGGCAAGAUGAUAGUACUUGUCCAAACGAUGCUUUCCUUUCACCUUCCCCAUUUCAACAGAGGGUUUAACAAGUUUGCUAGGGUUUUGGCCCCUGGCCGACUUUAUAUAUGAUUUUGUAUGCUUCUCUCACGUGUUGCUCGCGUGAACAACCCAAAAGCCUAAAACAUGUAAUAGGGUAUGUAUGAGUAUUAGGGUACUUUCUUUCUUGAAAUUUGGUUGUGUUUGGUAGGAAGGAAAAUGUUUUCUUGAAAAAUAAGUGAAUUUCUAACUUAUUUUUUUAUGUUUGGUUGGUAAGUAAAAAAUGUUUUCUGGGAAAAAUAUUUUAAUAUUUGAUUGGUGAAUGAAAAAUAUUUUCUAUAAAAUAUCAUUUAUUUUUGGCAUUCUUUAGGAAAAUAAUUUCUGAUCCGAAAAUCAACUCGAUAAUUGAUUUAGGACCAAACACUGAACUAGGACAAGACCCCGAUGACCGUUCCAAAAUACGACCCUAAGAUCUGACCUAGGACCUCUGACCUAGACAUUCGAUCCAGAACCUGACCCAAAAAAUAUUUUUCAAAAAUAUUUUUUUUAAAAUAAAAUUGAUAGGGAUGGGGGAGCGGGUCAGGGUAUGUGGUGGAGUAAAAAAUGAAAUUUUAAAAAGUUGAAAUAUUUUUUCAAAACAAUUUUUUUUGUAUGUGUGGGGGGAGGGGUAGGGGUGGUAGCGGUGAGUGAGGUAAAAAAAUCUUAAAAUUUGAAAUAUUUUUAAAAAAAUAAAUUAAAGUUUUAAUUUUUUUGUUUCCGGGAGGGGGGUUGGUUUGGCGGUGUAACAUCUCGCAAAUUGAAAUAACUAGGAAGAAGCUAAUAAUUGAAAAGAGUCAUUUUUUGGAAAGAAUGAAAAUUUGGAAAUUUUGUUAAGUUAGAAUAAGUUGAGUUUUGGCCAACUUCAAACGGACAUAACUUUCAGCUCAAGAUGAGUUAGAGGUACUUCCAGAUAUGGUAGGAAAGCUCUUGGAAUGAUCUUUAGAACUCCGCUGAGUUUGCACGAUUCCGAGUUUGUAUGAGUGAGUUAUGCCCUUUGGAAGUUGGGUUGUUAGAAUAAUCCGGAUUUUGAAAGGGUAGUUUGGUCUUUUCCUUUCCCAAUUAUUUUAUUUCGAUUUUGAUAAUUAAGUUAGGGUCUAAUCAGAAUUAGAUCAGUUUACGCUUUUACCAAAAUACGCUAGGGCUUGGAGAAAAGAGAAAAGAAGAGGAGAAAGGAGAAGAGAAGCAAGAUUCGUCAAGAUUGUCGAGUUUAGCUUAUGGAUUUCAUUGGGGGUGAUCCCUACAAGGUAUGAGAGAUCACAUAGCGUUGGGUUACUUCACCCACGCACCAAUCAUGAUUCAAUUUCAGCGAAGUUUAUUAGAAUUGAAAGUAAAUCCUUGAGUUCUUGAUGAUAUUCGUUUGAAUUCUUGCGGGUUGUGUUGUUGGAGUUUUCUUGAGAUUAAUUCAUGUUUUAGUUGUGUUUUUUAGUAGAAUUGAUGCAUAUUGAGGGUAUAUAUGAUUCUAAGUGUUUGGGGAAAGAGCCAUUGAAGUUUAGAGGGUUUAGAGAUGAAAAACGAGCAAGAAAAGUCGUCAAACGUCUGGGGAAAAGGGUGGGGCAUCGCGCCAGCCACGCGCCCUAAAAGGGUCUCUGAAGUUUACCCCUUGGGGCGACGCGCCAGCCAGCGCUCCCCAGGGCAGUCUCUGAUCUUUGCCCUCUGGCGCCCCGCACCUCUCAAAGCUCCAGGGACGCCAGUCCUUCCCAUUUCUUCCCCACCUUUUAGUACUUGUUCCUUAGCAAUGUAUCUAUCUUUUCUAGUUGAUUCCAACACUCUAUGGUACAUCUAAACAUCAUGAAAUCAUCCAUAAACAUGAGAUCAUGAACCUUGAAUCCAUAAUCCAAUUCAAGGAAAGUUAAGAUCAAAGUCAAGAGAAGUUCUUAUAGUUUUCCAAAAGUCUUUUCCAAAUGUUUUAACUUUGUUUUAAGACUUAAAGUUCAAGUUAAGUAAAGAGUAAAGUUUGAAGUUCAUUUCUUCAAAGGUAUAUGGGGACUAUGUAUUCCCAAAGGGUUUAAAAUAUUUUUCACAUUUAAACAAUAAUGGAAACCUCGAUUUCCAAAGAGCCUUCGGGCUAGUUUUCAGAAAAGCGUAAUCGCUUUCUAAAUGAAGCAAGAGAGGAAACUUUGAUUUCCAAGAUAGCCUUUGAGCUAAGUUUUUGAGCACUAAUCUCAAAUCACAAAAAGAAGUAUGUUUUUAAACAUAAGAGCUAAUAUUAUAUUUUUUGGAAGUAGUAUUGAGCACCGAUAUGGAAGAGCGUUCAGACAACUCACAGCCCUCAUAAACCAUGUAGCCUUCAUGGGUAGAAAAGGGUUAUACUUUUUAGAUGAUUCCUUUAGUGCUUUUUAGCAUAGACUAGUGGAUCCACUUAGUAGUUCAGGUUCUAUACCCUCGACAAGGUAUAGGACGGCCCUGACAGCGUGAGGCAAAAUGAUGUAUCAUCACAAUAGCUCUUACGUGAUGGUUGUCGGUUAGAGAAACUCCCACAAAAGUAAUUGUAUUCUUAUACACACAGUUUAUUGUAUUUUUACAUACAUUUCAGAGUUAUAUGUAUCUUUGCAUACAAACAGAGUUGACAUCAUGUUUUAAACAACUUUUUUUAUAUUGCACUUGUUUUAACCUGCUUUAUAUUGAAAUGAGUUCAGUUAUGUUGAGUUGAGCCAGGUAAGUUCUUCAGAUUCUUUUCAAGCCUAUGUUGUGUUUAGCAUUCCAACUCGCAUACUCGUACAUUCAAUGUACUGAUGCCAGUUGGCCUGCAUCAUAUUAUGAUGCAAACACAGGUAACUAGGAUCGGCAUCCAGCGCAUCGUUGAUCCAGUGAGCACUCCAGAGUCAAUUGGUGAGCCUCAUUGCAUUCUAGAGUCCCUUUUAUUGCUUUCAGUUACUUUGUUAGUUCAUUAGGAUGUCGUGGGGUUUGUCCCGACAUCCAUCUCAGUUGUUUUAGAGGCUUCAUAGAUAGUCUAAAUGUUAGUUCUUUAGUCUUUUCAUUGACUUUAUCAUUUCAUAUAUUUAGACUUGAGUUGCCAUUUUGGCCAAGUUGAAUGUUUGACUUUUAAGCAUUCUCAGUAUUUUAUUAUUCAAGUGAGUAUAGUGCUUUUGAUCAUUAUAAAUAUGCAUAGAAUCUUCCAUUGGGUUAAGUAAGUCAGGCCAAAGGUUCGCUUGGGGUCAGUAAUGGUUCUCGAGUGUUAGUCUCGCCCAAGGUAUAGGCUCGGGGCGUGACAGGCAGUAGGGGUAAAAAUAUAUUUGAAAUUUAAAAAAAUUAUUUUUUUUGGAUGGGGAGGGUCGGGUACAUGGUACGGGGUAGGGUAAGAAAAAAAAUAUUGAAAGAUGAAAUAGAGUUUUGGAAAAUGUUUUCAUUAAUUUUUUAAGUAAAGUCAUUUUCCUUAAAUUUGAGGAAAACAAGUUGAUUUGGAAAAUAUUUUCCAAGACAUUGAAGCCAACCAAACAUGGGAAAUACCAAAACACCCUUAAAGUUAAUUAUGUUGAGAUUAGUUUCAUGUAUUAAAGUUAAUAUACAUUACAUAAUUUCUAAAAAUAAGUUUUUUGUUUAUAAGAAUAUCUUUCAUAAGUGUAAAUGAUGUGAAAAGUGAUGUAUAAAAAGGGUUUGAGGGGUAUUUUUGUUAUUUAACUAUUUUAUUGCAAGAUAAGUUAUUUCGGGAUUAUUAUUCUACUCAGAGGCAGUGAUAACUUAUCUCAAUACUAAUUAUUAAUCUUGAAAUAAGUUAUUCCAAACUUUGUAACCAAACAGGGAAUUAAGAGGUAUUAAAAAUUUAAGUCAAGAUUAUUUUUGUUUAUCCAUCAUACCAAAAGUGUCUUUAAGUUGUGAUUGCAUUUUUCUUUGAAUUUGUCACAAUCCAAUAGUACCACCUAGACGUGACAUGGUACUUAGAAUUCCGAGAGAAACUAAGCGAACUAUAUGGCGCAGUAUGACACUAAGAUAACAACAUAACUGAAAUAAAGAGAUAAGCGGAAUUGAAGUCUCAAAUAGUAAUCUCAACAUAAUAUUGAAUCAGAGUACAAAGACCAUAAUGCGGAAAUACUAUGUCUAACAACAAGCCUCUACUACAUAAGAAAGACUAAGACAAACCCUAGUUCACUUGAACAAUCUGAAAACUGAAUAAGUCUAAAAUACAUAAAAGCAUAAGUGUGACCAUGUCUCCGAAAGAUGAGGACUCACCAAAUCUGAUCAGCUGAUAGGAUCCAAUACUAACCGCGGUCUAAGUAAUAUGCAUCAGAAUCUAUAUUAUAAAAUAAUAUACGCACAAGAGAUGUAUGUGGUCAGUCCUCAGAAUGUACUGAAUAUGGAGAAAGAUGCAUGAUUAUAACAAGAUAUAUAGCAUAAUAAAUCUGAAAAACAUAAUAAUGCAAUGACCAAGUAAACAUAACUUAACUUUGAUCAUAUGAUUUCAUAAAACAUAGUAUAAGUCAUGCAUUCUUCUUUAAAUCAUUAUCAUAUCAUAAGUCUUUGAGGAAGUCAUAAGCCUUUGUGGGAAAUACCAUUAACCGACAUAAACCAUGUAAGUUAUAAUUGGAGUUCAUUGUAUUGUUCUCACACUGAAAAAGAAAGUCUUCUACUUGCCACGAUAAGGAUCAUAAUCAUAAGCUUAUGUGGAUCCACUAGCUAGAUUCAAUUAAGACUAAGUCAUACGGGGUGCUUAGUUUUGAGACAAGGAGAUUGUUACUAAAAAUGUAACACCUAAAACAGAGGCGUAUCUAAGGGGGGGAGGGGUCAUUGGGUUCACGUGAACCCAUGAUCUCCUCCCGAGAUCAUAUAUAGUAGUGUUAUAUAUUUUUUAAAAAUAUUGAAAUAUAGAUGUGUGAACCCACACUUGAAGUAUCACAUAAUGCGAUUAUGACUGGGUGCACCUCUCUCCGCGAGGUCAGAAAUUUGAAUUUUAUAUUUAUCUUGUUUUAUUUUUCUUUCUAAAAUUAGAUAACACCUCUCUAAGUGGAAAUUGGUGUGUGUAUAUAUAUAUAUAAGAAUUAAUUUUAGACCUAUAAUUUUAAAAUUUUAACGGUUUUCAAUAGUAAAACCUAAAUGUCAAACCGAUCAAAUUUAUAUCAUAGAUCAACCUUAUUAUAACAGUGCACCCAUCAUUUCAAAAUCUUAGAUUCGCCUUUGACCUCAAACCUUGAUAAGUUGAGUUGGAAAGAAAAUUCUGAAUUUUGGCUAUUGGUGCAUGUUGCACGAGCCCACCUACGGACCGUACAAGGUCAUGCGGUCUGUACGAGGGCAGUCGUCGAAGAGGUAUGAGAAAAGUUGAAAAUGUCAAGUCCUAGAAGAAUUCCUACAGACCACCAUGACAGUUUGUAGAAGUAUAUACAAUCCGUAGGAAGUGGUCAUAGGAAGGGGGUCCAAACUUGGUGAGAUUUUGAUCGACUUUUGGGUUCUACGGUUAGGACCUACAGCUCGUAGAAGGGUCUACGAACCGUAGGAAGUUUUCGUGAAAAGUGAUUGGAAUUUCAGCCUCUAGUACUUUGAUCUACGGAUGAUCAGGACGGUCCAUAAAAGCUUGUACGAACCGUAGGUCACCUCUAGCAGUUUUUAAGUUAGGGUUAUUUGGGCCAUUUCUUAUCUUUUCUACACCUAAACUAUGUCGUUUUGACCCUAUAACUAAGUCCUGUGAUUGCUUUUACUCUUCAAAACCUACCUCUUUCCCCUUAUUCACUCAAAAUCCCUCAAGAUUUUCUCUCUAAAUUGUCUCCAAGGAUUCUCUCAAGUGGAUUAGGGUUCUUCAAACUUUCAAGUCUCUUCCUCUAAUUCCAAGGCCCAAGUAUGUGGGAAAUUCAUUAAUGGAUUCUCGUUCAUCCAUUGAGCCCCAAAGAUUUCUCUAUUUCCUUCCAUGAUUUCAACCCAAAUUUCUAGGGUUUUAUAUGAUUCUUCAUGGCUUUGAUUAUUUAUGAUCCAAUCAAUUAUAUUUAAUCUUAUUAUGCAUGAUUUGAUUCAAAUUACAUGUUUUCAAAGUAUUUCAUAUGAACCCAUAUUAUACGUCUAUCUUAUGAUCAUGAGUUGAAGUUUUGAAAUUAUGCACACAUUAAGAAAUUGUAGUGACUAGUUACUAUGAUUCUAGGGUGCUUUCAAAUAAAGUAUCUCAUGAGUUACGAAAUUUGAUUGCUUCUGAAGUAUUCCUACUAUGAAAGAUUUUUGUGGCUUAGCCACCUCCGAUUGAAGUGUAGUUUUACUAAAAAAAAAGAUUAUCAUGAUUUAAAUGCUUUCAAUUAAAUGUAUAUAAAUAGAAAACGGUAUUACAAGAAAAAGGCAAUAAGAAACCAGAAAAUCUUAAGACUAAUUCAUUUCAAAAUGUGAACAACAAAAAUCACGAGCUUAAGCUGCUGCUGAAGCCUUUCCUGAGCCUUUUCCUUUUGGUUGCGUCUUCUUUUUCAUUCCAUGCUUUCUUGCAUCUUUUUUCAUUCUUGGAUCGACAAGGACCUUUCCCUUGCCAACCUUAACUUGAACUCCUUUCUUUGCCACUACAUAUUCCCUUUCUGGUUUUUUUGUUGACGACGCCUUCCUGUAUAGUUGUUCAAUCAUUUUUCUCUUUGAACCUUCAGAGAUUUCAGUUUGGUCUGAUAUUGAGUUAGCUUUCUUCCUAAACUUCUCUAGCUUUCUAUGUGCUGCCCGUUUCUUACGAGCUUUGGCUUCUGCAACCUUCUUUGCAGGCCGAGCAUCAAUUGCUUUAAAUUGAGCUCUCAUUGCAGCAAUCUCCUCUUUUGUCACGGGUUUCACUGGCUGGAAAUUUCUCUUUUCCUCAUCAAUGAACCACUUCGGCAACCCCUCAUCGUGAAACAUAUAUCUGUUGUAAACAUCAUCAAUCAUUUCUUCCCUAGGCCUUUUCUUCAGCGUCAUUUUUGCUGUAGCCAAUAUUUCAGCCUUCGUGUCAAUAUCGUCAUCAGAUUCAUCAGAUGAUGAGUCACUAGAAUCAGUAGCAGGAGCAGGAACAAUCUCAAAAUCAUCUGUCUUAGAAGCUGAGACCUGUAAGCCACCAUUUGUUUUCCUCCUCGUCAUAUCCUUAGUUUCUCCCUGCUGUUUAUCAUUUUUUAGUUCCUUAGAUUUUUGGAUCUUCUUAGCCCCUCCAUCUACUUCCAUUUCAUCAUUACUGUCAUACAUGUCCAAGACAUCCUGCUCUUCUGCUUCAGCAAAAGCAUCUUGAGUAAACCACAUCUUCACAAUCUCCUCCUGAGUAGGUGCAUCCUCAAGGGGCACAACAAGAGGGUUGACUUCAUUAUCUUCCAUGUCACUCUCAGAGUCUUGAGCAGAAUGAAUCAUUGUGCUAUCAUCAUUGCCAUCCUG
rnacentral:lncRNA from 1 species